GAUGAACGCUGGCGACGUGCCUAAUACAUGCAAGUCGAGCGAACGGACGAGAAGCUUGCUUCUCUUAUGUUAGCGGCGGACAGGUGAGUAACACGUGGAUAACCUACCUAUAAGACUGGGAUAACUUCGGGAAACCGGAGCUAAUACCGGAUAAUAUUUUGAACCGCAUGGUUCAAAAGUGAAAGACGGUCUUGCUUUCACUUAUAGAUGGAUCCGCUCUGCAUUAGCUAGUUGGUAAGGUAACGGCUUACCAAGGCAACGAUGCAUAGCCGAUCUGAGAGGAUGAUCAGCCACACUGGAACUGAGACACGGUCCAGACUCCUACGGGAGGCAGCAGUGGGGAAUAUUCCGCAAUGGGCGCAAGACUGACGGAGCAACGCCGAGUGUAUGAUGAAGGUCUUCGGAUUGUAAAGUACUGUCAGCAGGGAAGAACAUAUGAAAAAGAAUAUGUGCACACAUUGACGUUACCCAAAGAGAAAGCACCGGCUAACUCCGUG
rnacentral:rRNA from 1 species